CUUUUCGAGGUAGGAGUCGAGUACUGUAAGGUAUGGUGCUGGGUGCAGAUGCAGUGUGGCUCUGGAUAGCACCUUAUGGACAGUUGUGUCCCCAAGGAAGGAUGAGAAUAGCUACUGAAGUAAGUUGAAAAUUCCCUCUCAAAAAGAUUUAAAGCCAUUGGAUGUGCCACAAUGAUGACAGUUUAUUUGCUACUCUUGAGUGCUAGAAUGAUGAGGAUCUUAACCACCAUUAUCUUAACUGAGGCACCCAAAAUGGUGAUUUGGGGAACAUAGAGAGUACACCUAAGUUCACAUGAAGUUGUUUCUUCCCAGGUCCUAAACAGCAAGCCUAACUCAAGCCAUUGGCACACAGGCAUUAGACAGAAAGCUGGAAGUUGAAAUGGUAAGUGAAACUGUAUCCAAGUAAACAGGUAACUGGGCAAACUGCCUACGGCACAAAUGGCUUUUUAGUUACCUCCUACUAGUGCUGAAUGCAUUAAAUAAAUGGCGGAUUCUUGUCUUGUUAUGAUUAAUAAGAAAGUUUGUAAAUGCAGCCUGGAUGAUGAUAAGCAAAUGCUGACUGAACAUGAAGGUCUUAAUUAGCUCUAACUGACUAAAGGCAUUUGUUAGUUUUGGCAGGGGGUGAACACUCAUCUGUGGCUAUUCUAAGACCACUCUUAUUUCUUAGGUGGAGUCCAACUUGCCUGGACCAGCUUAAUGGUUCUGCUCCUGGUAACGUUUUUAUCCAUGGAUGACUUGCUUGGGUAAGGACAUGAAGACAGUUCCUGUCAUACCUUUUAAAGGUACAUGUUUUAUUGAUGUUAACGUUAAUUGAUUGAGCUACUGUUAGUGAUGAUUUUAAAAUUAAAGCAGAUGGGAAUCUCUCUGAGAAAGAAAAUGGAGAUUAAUCUUAAACUGAAA
rnacentral:sRNA from 1 species